UUGAGUGGUUGCUCUGGUGUUCUUUAUGGUUCGUAGGUGUUAGCGGUCAAGGCUAGGGCAUUGUCUGUUGCAUCUAAGGUAUGCUAUUGCUUGGGUGUUUCUGGAUUGUUGCUAAAUGGUUGAGAGAGCUGUCUGGUCAGUAGGUGGUAGUCUGGAGCUGCGUACCCAAGCUUAGCCUGCAGCUAAGGAAAAAUCAAAUAGACACCGGACCAACAUCGCAUCAACAUCUUAGGACUCAGUGUAACUUAACAACUGAAGAGAUCAUGUGGGGAAAUCUGACGGCAUUGACUGUUUGCCUUUUAGGCACAGUAUUCAUAGGUGGAGUUAGCAGCACCACAACAACAGAGGUUCCAAUAACAACCCCGGCUCCAGGUACAGCGAACCCGACAACCAUCGUUCCAUCAACAACACCAGAGAUUCCAAUUACAACAACGAAAACGACAACAGAGAAUCCAGCAACGGAAACGCCAACAGCGAAUCCAGCAACGAACUCGACAUCAGCAAAUCCAACAAAGCCUACGACAUCCGAAGGCACCCAGAAACCACACACCACCGACGCGGGGCCGGGGCCGGAGCCAGAGGGGCUGAGCGAUGGGGCAAUCGCAGGAAUUGCCGUCGGUUCAAUCGCCGGUGCGGCUGCCUUGGGUGGCGGUAUCUUUGGUCUGCUGAAGUACACUGGAAAGAUUUGAGGAGGGUUGAUUAGUGUUUUAAUAGUAGGUUUGAUGACCUUUGCUCUAUUGUUCGAUAUUUCAAAGAGUUCUAUGAUUUCCUGCUAUCAAUGCCUCCCUUGAAGAAACAUCUGACUUCAAUGCCAUAUAUUUUCAAAAUAUAAUUUAAUAUAUAAUUUAAAUAAUACGCAAAUACAGAGCUCGAAGGCCAUAGUUUGACAGGAUGUUUCAUGUCAAUGCAUGUAUAUAUUAGUUUUUUUAUAUCGUCAUUUUGGAAUUCUCUUGGGUGUCUGGGGAUUAUUUCAGGGGAACAUCCGUUUUAACGUUGGUUCUUACAGGCUACAGCUAAAUAUGUAGCCCAAAUAAAAUGCUAAAAUAUGAUUAAAAUGUUAACACAAUAAGCAACAAAUCACCAUUGUCGUCAUCUGUUCUUAUAUACAAUUGUAUUAGUUUAGCAACAGUCAACAAACUCUGGAAAAAAGCACAAAGGCAGUGCGUUAAACUUAGCUUCUUCUAUCUUGGAAUGGUUUAUCUGGGACCAUUAGGAUAUACUUCCAGUUUCCUUGGAUACAUUCAGAAUUUAUGGAAUUAAUCUGCUGGGAAUAUUAGAUAUUGACAGACAGUUUGUGAGGCUCAAAUAAAAUGUAAAAAUGCUCAAA